GCCGGUUGUCCGCCUGCCCCGGCCACUGGUCACCCCCUCAUCGACUUAGGUUUUGGGCCGGUCGUCCGCCCGCCCGCCCCGGCCACUGGUACCCCCGGGACACCGGCGGGGGGGUCAAACCGAGGCCGCCCGGGUGGCCGACAAAAACUUGGAUCGAGGGAUGACUUUCAAUGGAUCGCAGCGAGUGAGCUGCUCCGCCACGCACGAAACCCUGACCCAGAAUCAGGUCGUCUACGAGUCAUUUAGCACCGGGUUCUCCACAAACAUGCGGUGCGUCUCCAGAGAGGGGCGGCACUCGUUCGGCCGCACCCCGGUCCAGU